GGAGCAGUACUCAAGAGGCUGAAGAGGACGGUUUGCUAAAUCGUUAGGGUCGCAAGGCUGCGGAGGUUCGAAUCCUCUCUGCUCCG
rfam:Anaerovibrio sp. JC8 JC8_016, whole genome shotgun sequence.